AAAGGAAUUGACGGGGGCCCGCACAAGCGGUGGAGCAUGUGGUUUAAUUCGAAGCAACGCGAAGAACCUUACCAGGCCUUGACAUGCUAGGGAACCCGGGUGAAAGCCUGGGGUGCCCCGCGAGGGGAGCCCUAGCACAGGUGCUGCAUGGCCGUCGUCAGCUCGUGCCGUGAGGUGUUGGGUUAAGUCCCGCAACGAGCGCAACCCCCGCCGUUAGUUGCCAGCGGUUCGGCCGGGCACUCUAACGGGACUGCCCGCGAAAGCGGGAGGAAGGAGGGGACGACGUCUGGUCAGCAUGGCCCUUACGGCCUGGGCGACACACGUGCUACAAUGCCCACUACAAAGCGAGGCCACCCGGCAACGGGGAGCUAAUCGCAAAAAGGUGGGCCCAGUUCGGAUUGGGGUCUGCAACCCGACCCCAUGAAGCCGGAAUCGCUAGUAAUCGCGGAUCAGCCAUGCCGCGGUGAAUACGUUCCCGGGCCUUGUACACACCGCCCGU
rnacentral:rRNA from 1 species